rnacentral:rRNA from 1 species
UACGUAGGUGGCGAGCGUUGUCCGGAUUUAUUGGGCGUAAAGCGCGCGCAGGCGGACCCUUAAGUCCGGUGUGAAAGCCCCCGGCUCAACUGGGGGAGGCCAUGGGAGACUGGGGGUCUGGAGGCAGGCAGAGGCCGGUGGAAUUCCCGGUGUAGUGGUGAAAUGCGUAGAGAUCGGGAGGAACACCAGUGGCGAAGGCGGCCGGCUGGGCCUGUCCUGACGCUGAGGCGCGAAAGCGUGGGGAGCGAACCGG